rnacentral:rRNA from 1 species
GAGGAAUAUUGGUCAAUGGGCGAGAGCCUGAACCAGCCAAGUAGCGUGCAGGACGACGGCCCUAUGGGUUGUAAACUGCUUUUGUAUGGGGAUAAAGUCAAUCACGUGUGAUUGUUUGCAGGUACCAUACGAAUAAGGACCGGCUAAUUCCGUGCCAGCAGCCGCGGUAAUACGGAAGGUCCGGGCGUUAUCCGGAUUUAUUGGGUUUAAAGGGAGCGUAGGCUGGAGAUUAAGUGUGUUGUGAAAUGUAGACGCUCAACGUCUGACUUGCAGCGCAUACUGGUUUCCUUGAGUACGCACAACGUUGGCGGAAUUCGUCGUGUAGCGGUGAAAUGCUUAGAUAUGACGAAGAACUCCGAUUGCGAAGGCAGCUGACGGGAGCGCAACUGACGCUGAAGCUCGAAGGUGCGGGUAUCGAACAGGAUUAGAUACCCUGGUAGUCCGCACAGUAAACGAUGGAUGCCCGCUGUUGGUACUUGGUAUCAGCGGCUAAGCGAAAGCAUUAAGCAUCCCACCUGGGGAGUACGCCGGCAACGGUG